rnacentral:rRNA from 1 species
AGAGCGAACGUUAGCGGCGGGCCUAACACAUGCAAGUCGAGCGAGAAAGGGGCUUCGGCCCUGAGUACAGCGGCGGACGGGUGAGUAAUACGUAGGUAACCUGCCCCCCAGUUUGGGACAACGGUCCGAAAGGACCGCUAAUACCGGAUUCGUUCCUUGGGACUCUGGUCCUGGGGAGGAAAGCUGCCCGCAAGGGUGCGCUGAGGGAGGGCCUACGUCGCAUCAGCUAGUUGGUGGGUAAUGGCCUACCAAGGCGAAGACGCGUAGCUGGUCUGAGAGGAUGAUCAGCCACACUGGGACUGAGACACGGCCCAGACU